UACAGAGGUCUCGAGCGUUGUUCGGAUUUAUUGGGCGUAAAGCGCGCGCAGGCGGUUUUGUAAGUCAGAUGUGAAAUCUCGGGGCUCAACCUCGAAACAGCGUCUGAAACUGCAUAACUAGAAUGUCGGAGGGGGCAGGGGAAUUUCUCGUGUAGGGGUAAAAUCCGUAGAUAUGAGAAGGAACACCGGUGGCGAAAGCGCCUGCCUGGACGACUAUUGACGCUGAGGCGCGAAAGCGUGGGGAGCAAACAGG
rnacentral:rRNA from 1 species